UCCCGUUUAUGACCUGGAAUUUGUUGUUAUGUGAUACGUUUUCAAAGAGUCGGGUUGUUUGGGAUUNCAGCCCAAAAUGGGUGGUAAAUUUCAUCUAAAGCUAAAUAUGGNCGAGAAACCGAUAGCGANCAAGUACCGUGAGGGAAAGAUGAAAAGCACCUUGAGAAGGGAGUCAAAUAGUACGUGAAAUUGUUAAAAGGGAAACGUUUGGAAUUAGUGAUUGUUGGACAGAGUUUAAGUGAGUCUGUGGUCUCUGUGGUGGUNGAAUGAGGGGUGAAACUCCAUUUACUAUUACAUAAGAUUAUUGAUUUAUUCGACUCUCUGUUUGACUAGUCAACAUGAGUUUUGUUUGCCAGAUAAGUUCAAGAGGAAGGUAGGUUACUUCGGUGACUGUUACAGCCUUUUGUUCCUAUGGUGAUUGAGACUAAGGUGUUUGAAGUAAGACAAUGAGGUCUUGGAUAUGUUGUAUAAAGGUUGGCGCUCUGCUUGCAGGUCACUGAUUGUAGUAAGACAUAAAAGAGUCUCUUGCUUACUCAGGAUGUUGACGAAAUGGUUCCAACCGACC
rnacentral:rRNA from 1 species